GACAGAGGUGCCGAGCGUUAGGCGGAAUCACUGGGCUUAAAGCGUGUGUAGGCGGGCGGGCAAGUACCUUGUGAAAUCCCACGGCUCAACCGUGGAACGGCUGGGUAUACUGCCUGUCUUGAGCCAACUAGGGGCGAGCGGAACAGACGGUGGAGCGGUGAAAUGCGUAGAUAUCGUCUGGAACGCCAAUGGUGAAAAACAACUUGCUGGGGGGUGUGCUGACGCUGAGACGAAAGACCAGGGGAGCAAACGGG
rnacentral:rRNA from 1 species